AAGAUGGCGACCGGCGCACGGGUGAGUAACACGUAUCCAACCUGCCGAUAACUCGGGGAUAGCCUUUCGAAAGAAAGAUUAAUACCCGAUGGUAUAAUCAGACCGCAUGGUCUUGUUAUUAAAGAAUUUCGGUUAUCGAUGGGGAUGCGUUCCAUUAGGCAGUUGGUGAGGUAACGGCUCACCAAACCUUCGAUGGAUAGGGGUUCUGAGAGGAAGGUCCCCCACAUUGGAACUGAGACACGGUCCAA
rnacentral:rRNA from 1 species